UGGGGAAUAUUGCACCAUGGGCGCAAGCCUGAUGCAGCGACGCCGCGUGGGGGAUGACGGCCUUCGGGUUGUAAACUCCUUUCGCCAGGGACGAAGCGUUUUGUGACGGUACCUGGAUAAGAAGCACCGGCUAACUACGUGCCAGCAGCCGCGGUAAUACGUAGGGUGCGAGCGUUGUCCGGAAUUACUGGGCGUAAAGAGCUCGUAGGUGGUUUGUCGCGUCGUUUGUGUAAUACCGCAGCUUAACUGCGGGGUUGCAGGCGAUACGGGCAUAACUUGAGUGCUGUAGGGGAGACUGGAAUUCCUGGUGUAGCGGUGGAAUGCGCAGAUAUCAGGAGGAACACCGAUGGCGAAGGCAGGUCUCUGGGCAGUAACUGACGCUGAGGAGCGAAAGCAUGGGUAGCGAACAG
rnacentral:rRNA from 1 species